AUGGGAAACCAAUUCGCUUGGUGGCCUCCUUGGACCAGACANCAGACCAACAGAGGAAGGCGGCAGGUAAACCCUCAGGAGCCUCACAUCACAAAUUGGGUGGACUCUGAGGAAAAUCGNGUACCUGUUUUCAGAAAUAUGUCUUGUGGAAACAACUAUUUCCGCAUUAUAAAACUGGAUGUGGAACCCCAACCAUUUUAUGUGGUGGAGCAAGAAAUGUGGCCUGAUGUCUUUAUAUCUCAACCUACCUGUGAAGAAAUAACAAAAUGGUUGUUUAAGGAUGGUUCAGUAAGUAGAUACUGGAACCAGCCCUUAUAUUGGAUUGGUUUGAACAUACUUCACAGGAAAGGUUUUUUCAGAGGGCUUCCUUUUAGAUUUAAUUACCCUUCUCAAUUUGUCUAUGAACCUUCAGCCUUAAGUAUAGAAACAAAAGGAGUUUACUGGUUAUGCGGAACCUUUGCCUGGAAGAUAUUGCCUGAGGAAUGGGGAGGCAAAUGCACCUUAGGAGGCAUUGGCAUGGGGAGUACUUUGAGGAAAUCAAUUCCCAAACCCCGGCCUCGGGAGACCCGUGAAAUUACAAAGUGGGUCCAAUUUUGGGGGCUCAUAUCACCCCGGUACGGGGUCCAAGUGGCAUUUGCAGAAAUACGAAAUAUCUCAGCCCAAAUUGAAGAAUUGGCCAAAGAGACCGCACGCGCAUUCCGCGCAGCAGCCAGGGGUUUGGAAGAACAUAGUCGUGUGUUGACUCAGGUCGUCUUGUGUCUUGAUUUUCUCUUAGCCAAAGAUGGAGGGUUUUGUAAAGUUGUAGGUGACAAAUGUUGCACAUAUUUAAAUGACACCUCUAAGGAAAUCCGUCGGCAUGCGGAUUUGAUUGAAAAUGUACAGCAAAAUGUGCACAUUAAAGCCCCUAAAGGAGGAAGUUUUACAGACGGCUGGGAGUGGCUCGGAGACAUAUUCUCUUUCAUUCCUACGUGGCUGAGGAAGGUCUUAUUGGGNGUAGUGAGCGUACUUCUGGGAAUUGUCGCAAUAUACCUUCUAACUAAGUGUAUGUUUUUCAUGGGCUCCAAGGCUUGCAAAAGAAAAACAAAACCUCCACAAGAAACUGUCUUGGUGAUGCACCUUAUUCCCCCGGUAAAAAUACCCAGGUAUAAUUCUGAGGAAACACUCCGCUCGUUCGCAAUUCUUGAUGAUGUAGAUUGA
rnacentral:lncRNA from 1 species